CAAAAUAGGAUUGUCGACCAAUGACAUAGAUAGCAUUCUAGAAACUGAAGAUUCAAGGAAAUGGAAUUUUGAAGUUUUGAGACGAUGCAGAGAUAGUAUUGUGGUUACUUUUAAGCACAUCAAAGAAGCAGUGGAGGGAAGUGGCCAAGAGAGUAUCCACAUACUUUGCAAGCUUGUGAAAGGCGAUUCUAUUGAUUUUGAAAAGGAAGCAGAUAAGUGGGAUAUGGUACUUACAGAGAAGCACAUUGACAGAUUGGCUCCAUUGGUUGGAAAUAACUCACUCCCGUUCCUGAUAGAACUUGGAAUGGAGUUUCAGACCUGGGAGCAGAUUACCCACAGGCAAAAUGAACGAGAUUUGGUACGACUGAACAAGGACAUUUUAGAAGAAUGGAGAUUCCAGUUUUGCAAAAUGCACAGUUUGAAACCAACUUUGAGGAAUAUCGCAAGUGCAUUCAUUAACAUUGGCAAAAAUGUACAAAUCGUUGAGAAAACUUUAUCAGAUUUGUUUUUACUGUUAUAAAAUAACUUUCUUCUGUUUGCUCCGGGUAAAAAUCGAGUGCGAAAUUCUCAGAGAGUAUUUAACUUGAUGAAAAGGAUUAAUAAUUCAAUUUUAACUGUUAAUUCAAAUAGAUAAUUUAAAGAAAUCUGACUAUAUCAAUAUACAUAUUUAAUACUUUGUGACAAAACAGUAAUUUAGGUUAACCGUGUUUGAACAUUUAUGGUAUACUGAUCAAUAAAGUCUUCUUUCUGUUUGAAAUAUCACUUUUACGUCUUGUAAUAUCAUAAAUUUGAUAUAUUUUAGUGUAUACCAUGUUUUUGAUUUUUAUUAUAUCUUUUUGUUCUGCUAGUUCGCUUAUUUUCUUGAAGUUACUCCUAAAAUAAACAAGGCCGUAAAAUGAUUGAUAUAGUUUAUUGUCCAAACUGAAUGUGUUUAUUGUUCUAAGAAGCAUUUUAUCAAUAGAAAUAGUAAAUACAGUUUAUUGUCAUAACUGAAUGUGUUAAUUGUUCCGAGAAGCCUCUUAUAAGUACAUAUGCAUGUAUAAUAUAAAGGUAAAAUGUAUAUCAGCAAUGUUAAACUAUACUUCCAUGGUUAAAAUCUAUCUAAGAUAGACACUGUCCAACAAAAUCAAAUACAAAACUUCCGCUUUUCUGCUACAUAGACAACAUUUGUUGCUUGAUGAAAUUGUUGGCUGCAAGUUUAAAGAACAAAUACUUCUUUUAUUGUCAGUACCAGUUAGACACAUUAACUUUGCAGUCUGUAUUAAAACAUUUACAUUUUUUACUUGUUUUCGUCUUGAAUAAACAACUUUUAUAAUUGG